rnacentral:rRNA from 1 species
AACGAACGCUGGCGGCAGGCCUAACACAUGCAAGUCGAGCGAGGACUUCGGUCCUAGCGGCGGACGGGUGAGUAACGCGUGGGAACGUGCCCUUUGCUUCGGAAUAGCCCUGGGAAACUGGGAGUAAUACCGGAUGAGCCCUUUGGGGGAAAGAUUUAUCGGCGAAGGAUCGGCCCGCGUUGGAUUAGGUAGUUGGUGGGGUAAUGGCCUACCAAGCCGACGAUCCAUAGCUGGUUUGAGAGGAUGAUCAGCCACACUGGGACUGAGACACGGCCCUGACUCCUACGGGAGGCAGCAGUGGGGAAUCUUAGACAAUGGGGGAAACCCUGAUCUAGCCAUGCCGCGUGAGCGAUGAAGGCCUUAGGGUUGUAAAGCUCUUUCAGCUGGGAAGAUAAUGACGGUACCAGCAGAAGAAGCCCCGGCUAACUCCGUG